UAUACCACGGACUUCAACAAUGCCAUUGUUAACACCAUUCGUAGUGGAAAGACCAGGACUGUCAUUUGUCAAAUCAGGGUCAAACUCGUAAGGCAAAAUUAAGUUCAGGAAAAUGGAGAUAAAGGCUCCGAUGGCAAAACCAUUCUCCAUCACAAGGGUAAUGGCGUCCAGAAAUCCAACAAGAGCCUUAUUUGGUCCGCUGUAUUCAAAGAAAUAAGUAAACCAAUCUGGGACCAAAAUAGCACCCAUACCCAAAGUCAUGGAGGCAGUUAAAAUAAACCUAUUACGACGAUUAAAGGGAAUUUGGGAGAUAAUAGCAAUACCAGAGACAGCAACAGAUGAAAAGAGAAAUGUGGUCAUUCCACCUAAGACAGGAGACGGAAUGGCAACAAAGACAGCAGCAAACUUAGCGAACAAACCCAUAAAAAAUAAGAUUACCGCACAAAAGAAUCCAGCACGACGGUUUGCACACUUUGUCAAACUGAUGACACCGUUGUUUUGAGCGAAAGUAGUCAGUGGUGUAGUAGUCAUAAGAGAAGCGAUAAGUGAAGCUAGGCCAUCACCAAGAAUACCACCCUGAACUCUUGCAUCAAAGGCAGGGCCAUCUACUUCCAGCAUGGAGACAUCAGACGUGGCACCUAUAUCGCCGAUUGCCUCCAUCAUGUUUACAAUGUACAGUGCAAGCAUUGGAAGAACGGCAGGACCAUAGAUACGAAGACGGAAGGUAUGAACCCAAUUGAAGGUAACUACCGGAGCAGCAUCAAUGAUAGAAUGAUCCCAAUAACCAGUAGCAGCGGAAAUAAUCAUACCAACAACAAGUCCUAAAACAACUGAAGUAGUUUUCAUAAGUGGAGGACCAAAGCGCUCGAUGAUAAUGAUGGUUGCGAAUACGCUAAAACCGAGACCAAUAAAUUGUGCACUACCCCAACCUAAAGCAUGAGGAGAGGUAUCGGAAGGACAUAAGGAAUAACCAGGAGCUUCAGCUUCAGUGGGACGACCAGUACAAGAGCCUUCACCACCGGCCCAAUCAUUAAGACCACUACUGAUGAGAGAAGUACCGAUAAGUAAAACGACGGGGCCAGUAACGAUGGGAGGAAAUAGACGCUUCAAAAUGCGUGGAGGAAUGAAAGACAUAAAGAUUUCUAAGAGAGAGCAAACGCAAGCGGUUGCAAGGAAAGCACCAUAGCCAUCUGGACAGGGAAGUUUUGUGCCGUUCUCAUCUUUUGGACAGUAGCCAUUUUCGUACAUUUGAGAGAGAACUUUGGGAGCAACACUGACACUAGUAAAGGAAAUACCUAGCACCGAAAGCAUACCCGUACCAAUAUAGUAUUUUGUUUUUGGAAUAUGAACCCGGGCAAUUUGAAUAAGUGUCAUGAUACCACUACUGAUGAGGCCAGCAGAGACCAAAUAAUUUGUUUGUUCAGUAGUAAGAUUGGCAGAAGCAGCAAUAAUACGAGGAGGACUAGUGACACCGCCGACCAUGGCUAAAGCGUGUUGGAAUCCCAAAAGCAAAGCCAACAAGACAGGGACUUUGGCAUUUAACGAGAAAAAAGGGGGAGAUUUUGGCUUUUGUUUGGUGAAAGGGAUGGCAGGUAGCAAAAAGGAAUAAUCAUAAUCGCCAAUCCAAAAGUCUUUGGUAAAGAUGGAUAAAACAAAGCGACGAGUCUUUUCGAUAAUAGUAGUCUUUUCGUGAUCUUGAUCUUGGAUGGAUUCCGACAUUGUAGAAAAAUUAAAGAUAAAAAAAAAUAAGAAGAGACGAAAACGAAAAAAAAAAGAGAAAAGAUAUUAAUAAGAAUUAGAUAUUACAAGUUAGGACGAAAGGAAAUCUCAACGCAACAAACUUUAAGAAAAGUUCGUACAGGAAAAAAACAAUUACCUCUAAAACUACCAAAGAACAAUCAGCUAGUAAAUAAGAAACCCCAAGAAAUCCACAAUUGAACAAAAGA